rnacentral:rRNA from 1 species
GAUGAACGCUGGCGGCGUGCCUAAUACAUGCAAGUCGAGCGAACGGACGAGAAGCUUGCUUCUCUGAUGUUAGCGGCGGACGGGUGAGUAACACGUGGAUAACCUACCUAUAAGACUGGGAUAACUUCGGGAAACCGGAGCUAAUACCGGAUAAUAUUUUGAACCGCAUGGUUCAAAAGUGAAAGACGGUCUUGCUGUCACUUAUAGAUGGAUCCGCGCUGCAUUAGCUAGUUGGUAAGGUAACGGCUUACCAAGGCAACGAUGCAUAGCCGACCUGAGAGGGUGAUCGGCCACACUGGAACUGGGACACGGUCCAGACUCCUACGGGAGGCAGCAGUAGGGAAUCUUCCGCAAUGGGCGAGAGCCUGACGGAGCAACGCCGCGUGAGUGAUGAAGGUCUUCGGAUCGUAAAACUCUGUUAUUAGGGAAGAACAUAUGUGUAAGUAACUGUGCACAUCUUGACGGUACCUAAUCAGAAAGCCACGGCUAACUCCGUG